AAAGGGACUUUGCAGAUGUGGUUAAGUUAAGGAUUGCAGAAAGUAAUAAAAGAAACCUUAACUACAUUGCAGUAGGGAAGGCCUGUAGGGGGAGCUCUCACACCCCUAUCACAUAUCAUCAAUUACACCAAACAGGAAGAGACUGACGGCUUGCAUCUCUGACAGGAAGGAAAACUACUUUACUACUGAAGGAAGAUUUCUUUCCCCACCUGGCAACAGCCCAGCCAAUGAGAAAUGCUGCAGCCCAGCCAAUGAGCAGCUCUUGCAGCCCUGAACUGUUACUUUCCUCGAAAACACUUUCAUUUAGAACAGCCCCUCCCUACUCCCUCUUUUUUCUAUAAAGGCGGCUCCCCUCCUUUGUUGAUUGGAUCCGCCUAUGGUUCGCCACAGUAUGCACAUCCUCAAUUGCAAUUCUUUUGGUUAUUCCUAAAUAAACUCGUUCUGAAGUUUUUCAGGUUAACAGGAUCUUGAGAUGACAAGAUCAUCCUGGAUUAUCUGGUGGGCCCAAUGUAAAAAGGGUCCUUAUAAGAGGGAGGCAGGAAUGUCAGAGACAGAGAAAGGAGGUGUGAUGAUGGAAGCAGCAAAGGUUGGAGUGAUGCACCUUGAAAACGGAAAGAAGAGCCAUAAGCCAAGGAAUGCAGGCAGCCUCUAGAAACUGGAAAAGGCUGGGAAACACAUUCUCCCCUGGAGACUCCAGAGGGAACUCAGCUUUACCAAACCCUGAUCUUAUUUUCAGAGAUGUCAUUUCAGACUUCUGACCUCUAGAACUAUAAAAGAGUAAAUUUGUGUUGUUUUCAGCCACUAAGUUUAUGGCAAUUUGUUACAGUAGCAAGAGGAAACUAAUACACUUGCUGAAGUGACUGUUAUUUUGUGAUUUCUGACACUUGCAACAGAAUCCAGAAUCUGGAAUUGGGAAAUGUACGUGACAGAACCUAAGUUGCAGCACUGACUUAACAAAUGGAUGGCAAGGACUCAGAUUACAGGUUGUUUCUUUCUGCCUUUGAAGCCAUGUAAAUUCCAACCAGAAAAGCAAAGACAUGAUAUGGACCUGGGAGUGAGAAGGAAACAGGGCGUGCACCAUCAACAUCAGCGUUGGUUUCCUGCAAGCACAAAGUCAAGCAAGGUUACCCAUCAAUCCUCCACAGCAGCCAGCUGCCAACUGAUCUCCAAUAAGAAGGUGACCUUGAGUUCACUCUCCCUGAAGCUUGACAGUCUCAUUUUGGACAGUUGCUGUUGUUACUGUGUUAAGGUCACCAGUCCCUUCUGGAAAGUUCAGACUCACAGAACAUCACCUAUGCCCUGCUUCAUUGCAAGAAAACGAAAAUGUCCCCAAUGACUAAUGUGAACAGAAUGUCACCGUACAGUUAACAG
rnacentral:lncRNA from 1 species